rnacentral:lncRNA from 1 species
CAUCUAGAAUCACUAAAAUUGUGAAGUACUUAACCAUUAUAAUCCUUGCACGUGAUAAUUGUGGCUCAAAGCACAUCGCUUGUACAAAGAAAUGAUUUUCGACGAUUCUGUGUCUGAAGUAAGGUGGUAGCUUGGAUUCAAACUCUAGAUCAUUGUACCAUCUUGCAUCCAAAGUUAUAGGUAUUUGAUUAGAAUAGUUUCUGUAAAGAAUUUUAAUUCAAGUCCAUAUAAAUACCAUUAAUGUGAAGAUAUGUUACAUACUCUGCAAGGAUUUUGAGUUCGUGAAGGUAUUGGAGCUGUACUAACUUGAAACUGAUUUUAGCGAAUUUGAGUAGCAUCUCGUCAUGAUCUUUUUCUUGUUCAAAGAAUGAGAUAUAUUCCACUGGGAAUAACAUCUCCAUAUUCCAGUGCUGAGGUAGAGUACGUAAGAGCAUUUCGAAUACGUACUGAGAGAUGAGGAGGGCACGUUCCAUCAGCAGCCAGUGACUCCAAGUGUCUCGAUGUAAAUAUCAAUGCUUCGUCCAUUAUAUAAUCUUUUGUCGUCCGCAAAUAAGUCUUCAUACAAGCUCAACAUACCCUUGGCAUCUCCGACAAGAGAUUCUUUGAAAUUUCCGUUGUCCUUUGUGAAUCUCCUGAAUACAUCUAUUAAUCAAAAUGGAUCAAUUUGUUACACUUUAAAUAGUUAUAGACAACAAACACUUCUAGAAUCAAAAGCCUAGCUAGGUAAGAGUCUCAUUUACCGGAAGAUAUAUGGACCGUAUCUCCUAAAAACCCAGAAGAUGAUGGACACUGUGUACAAGUCAUUUUCACCUUCUAUCAUCUCCUCUUUCUUUUCGAAACCUUCUUUUAUAGUCUCAUCUAUCUCGUCCUCAAAGUGAUGUGCAAGGCCAAGGCUCACCAACAAAUAUAUCAUAAGAAUUCUCUUCUUUGCUGAAUCGAUCCCUUGGUAAGACAUGAGCGCCUUCUUCACUUUUGGCUUUAGUACAUCGAUUUCUUUCCUAAGCGCAUCAAUUUCCUACAAGUAAAACAUGCACGCAUGUGUUCACCUUCUCUAGCUAAUCAGUGUCCGCCAUCAGCUUAGAGCCUCUAAAUCCCUUAUAUAUUAAAAGAGAAGCAUCGUAAUAAAUGCAUUCACACUAUAAUAGACAUGUGACAGCCUCACAAUGAUUUGAUAAUAAGUAUGCUAAUGCGUUCACAUUAUCUACUUUGCGUUUUUUAAUAUAAUACUCACAUACAUGGUUUCAACAAAACUCUGCAUUUUUCGGUUGGAAUAAAAUAGAUAACGAAUCAAAAGCCAAACUAUAUAUAUAUUAUUUUUAUUGUUUACGGAUAAAGUUUAGCAAAAUAUUCAUAAAUUUUGAAUCGAUUCGUUAUCCGUUUUGAUUUGAACCAAAAAAUCUGGAUAUCCGUAACUCUUACGAAACAAAUCAAAUACUAAAAUACAAUAUCCAAAAAAGAAGCAAAUCACAAAUACCAAAUUUCUUAGGAACAUAUAUCUAAUUCGAUUUGUUAUAUGCAUAUAUAUACAUAUAUGUAAAGAAUUAUAUAUAUAUAUAUAUGUUAUAUAUAUUAUACUUUAUAUCAGUUUUACAAUAUUUUAUGAAUUAAAUUUAUUAUAUUAGGUACUAGAAUUUAAAAAAGUUAAAUAAUGUUUUAUUUUUGUAAUAAAAUGUUAUUAUUAAAAUUUUCAAUUAUUUUAAAAAUUUUAUUUUAUUUUAGAAGAAGGAGAGAAGUCGCGGAAGAGAUGAAAGCCCAAAGGGAGACACGUGUGUCGUAAGACCCGUCUCUUGUAACUCCUAAUUAAGAGACGUUUUUUCACAUUGAAGCCAAUUUCCUUUUUUUUUAAUCCUAAUAAUACUAAGAGACAGACUUAAGAAACAGCGUUGAUCAUGCUCUUAGUUUUUAUGCUCAAAAAUCUAUUUUCGUUAAUCCAAUUCAUUCACUACAUCUUCUUAUUGACGAGUGCUACUGAACACUAUCGAAUACAAUUAUAGAAAUGAUUCAAGAAACAAAAAGUCGCAUUUUCCAUUUUUUUUCUUGUUGGGUUGAAACACGAUCUUAAAAUUAUCUAGUCUACUAUAUAAACUAGUCAAGUGUUGUUGACUUCAUCUUCUAUAAAAUGGGAAACUAUACCGGCUACAAACAUGAGACCAUGCCCAAGAUCACGACAAUCUCAAAAAGAUAGAUCUGCCUGCACGAACUACCUAGUUGGCUAGUUUUCAUAUUAUCAAAGUAUUUGGAGGGUAGUUAAUUACUUGCUUCAGUGAAGACCAUAAGCCACCUAGAUCAUAAGCUCAGCUUUAGCUUCUGUUUAAACUGAAUAUCUGUAAACAACAUCAAGUGAUGGGUCAUUAGAGGAGUGAGAACUAAAGAAAGUGAUGAGGAUUUUUAAGGAGCUAGAGAAUUUUUUUUUUUUUUUUUGAAUGAAUGUUAAAUUUAUUCAUCAAAAAGUCUGUAUACAUCCAAGUACAUCCUUUAUACUCUAGGAGCUAUACUCAAAAUUUAACCAACACUUCAAAACAAAUAAAGCUAAUUACAAUCUAGUUUGGAACCAAAACUGCAUCAGCUCAUCAGAACCAAAAAGGUUACACCUUUAACCAUUUGCUCCCACACCUGCCUCGUGUAGGAACAUUCGAAAAACAAAUGGUCUCUUGACUCAGUAGCAGAUUUACAGAGUAGACAGGUUGAGAGUAUAUAAUGUGGAUAGAAUAGUAAAACAAGAUUAACAGAAUUAUAUAAUGUGGAUAGUUCAAGACUCAAGAAGUGUUGAGAAAAUCAUGUUCUUGCACAAGAAUGAUAAAACAGAAAACAUAGUAUACAAAGAAAAAGGAGACAAAUCUGAAUAGUUCAACAAAUAUACGCAACUGUUAACUUCUUUCAACUCAUGAUCUUGUAAUCUGUGUGAUAUCCUAACAUGUCAUGUACACAGCUUCCAUCAUCUCUGGGUCUUCAGGAUAUACCCUCACUACAUGUCUUCUGGUAAGGAUCAGUGUCUGGCAACUUGGCAAGGCUGGUACCAUUCGUAUAUUUUACGAUGAUUCGGCUCCUCGGUACUUAAUUCAUAUAACUGGCCUAAACUGUACCACCCUUCCGAUCUCCACGUCUACCUAGGAUAUCCACAAGGACAGCAGAAAUUAAUUAGCUAGCACUAAAUAUAGCAUUUUACUUAAAUUCAUUAAAAGAAAGAAGCCCAAAAUAUAACAACAUACACAAAAUGUUUUGUGUUUUAUUAAAAGCCAUCUGAACGAUCAAAUGGUAGACGGUGAAAACAAAGCAGAAAGCACAUGAUGUUAUUAAAGAAAAAAGUCAGGUAAAAGAUAAAACAUUUGCCAAAGUCUUCAAAGACGGAUCUGAUCCACGAACAUAGAAGUCAUGUACUCCUUAAUUUUUCCUUGGGGAUCGGUGUAACCUUCAUAUCCAUUGUAGCAGACGUGGAUCAUGCGUGCAAGAUCAAUGACUGCCUUAAGAACACAGUGUCGCACACCAGUUUUUGUCAAGAACUCUUCAUUUAUUAUCUUAUCAGCCUCUCCAACCAUUUUAUUAAGCUCCCUAAAAGCUUCAUUUUGGGAAACUCCAUAUUGCUUCAUAUAACAGCUGACAGCAUUGGUGACGUAUCCUCUACUAAUGUCAUCCUAAUUAAAAUAGUGUAUGUGUAAAUCGGGAUGCUAGAUAGAACAAGAAAGUAUACAUAUCCAAUAUGUGAAGAAAUGGUUUACGCAUAUGUACCUGGAAACCAGUUAUAUCAUCCAUAAGACGACCUUUGACACAUAAAGAUUGGACGAGUUUUGGUCUGGACUUUAGCCAUUCAAAAGCUUCUUUUGCAGCCAUCUUUCCCAUAGACAUGUAUCGACUUGCCAAAGUCGCAUACACUGCGACUUCCACCUCACUAACUUCCAUGUACUCCUCAAAGCUAGGCACGUGAUAAACUAGGCCCCACUUUGCGAGAUCAAAGUUGGCUUUCACAUGUGUCUUGAACUGCAUGCUCAAUAAUAUAAGAUCUGCGUUACGUUACAACACUAAAUGUAGUUUUCUAAAGUUAUUUUGAAAUAAUGAUAUACCCAUGACCUUUCUUUUCCUUGAAAUAUAAUCCUGCGAGUUCAGUUGAAAGUUAUUCCAAAGUCAUAUGACAGUAUAUUGAUAUACUACUAAUAAUAAAAAGAUGAGCCCUUUGUCUUGGGGAGAUAGUGAUGCAAGUUGGCAACCAAAGGCAAUAACUAAUGUUCUGGAAAAACAAAUGUACGAGGAAUAUUUGGUGUGUGUGGUGUUUGUGGCUUAACUUAAUUACUGAUCUCCGAAAGGAUAUUUGAGUAUUCGAGAAAAAAAGGAGAGACAAAAUGAAUAAAUGAAUAAAUGAAAAAUGUGAAUUUGUAUUUCCUUAAGCUUUUAUGAAAAACGUGAUUUUUCCCAUAACAAGUUAAAUAAUAUUCCCAUCUUAUCAAUUUCUACAUGGAUGUAAUUUAUUAAAUGAAAGAUAUAUUUUAUUUUAAAUUCUAGAGUUAGACUUAAAUUUUGUAAAAUUAUAUAUCCACAUAUAUCUCCUACAAAUAAUGUUUUAUGUAACAUUUAAAUUAAGGAUAAAACUGGAAUCAUGAAAAUUGUUGAUACUAUAUAUUUUUAAGAAUAACAUGUCACAUCACAGUAUUUUUCAAAAUUGUUUUUAAUUGACAAAUUAGCAUUAUUAUUAAGGAAAAAUAAUUAGUCAGAUUAGUUUAGUUUCUUAAGCGUAUUACCCUUGAUUGUUAUAUGCAUGCUUAUGUCCACGACUUAAUCAUACCAAUAAAGAAGAUAGUUUGAUUGAUUUACCACUUCCUUUGAGGCGUUCACGUUGUAUGAUCUUCCUUGUGGCCCAAGUUCUCUUUCAAACUCUUCGAAAGUAUCUAUCAUAAAGUUCAACACGAAUUUCAAAUAAUCAGGCUGUUUAUCCAUGGUAUGCUCGUGAGCCCACCUGUACAACAUCUUCAGCAUCAUCAUCAUCAUCAUCAUCAUCAUCACUAUAAUCAUUGUUUACUUAAUUUUUUGAUAGCCUUCAGCUUCCGGAAGAGAUGCAUAUCUGUCAAAUGUGUCAUCUAGAAUCACUAAAAUUGUGAAGUACUUAACCAUUAUAAUCCUUGCACGUGAUAGUUGUGGCUCAAAGCACAUCGCUUGUACAAAGAAAUGAUUUUCGACGAUUCUGUGUCUGAAGUAAGGUGGUAGCUUGGAUUCAAACUCUAGAUCAUUGUACCAUCUUGCAUCCAAAGUUAUAGGUAUUUGAUUAGAAUAGUUUCUGUAAAGAAUUUUAAUUCAAGUCCAUAUAAAUACCAUUAAUGUGAAGAUAUGUUACAUACUCUGCAAGGAUUUUGAGUUCGUGAAGGUAUUGGAGCUGUACUAACUUGAAACUGAUUUUAGCGAAUUUGAGUAGCAUCUCGUCAUGAUCUUUUUCUUGUUCAAAGAAUGAGAUAUAUUCCACUGGGAAUAACAUCUCCAUAUUCCAGUGCUGAGGUAGAGUACGUAAGAGCAUUUCGAAUACGUACUGAGAGAUGAGGAGGGCACGUUCCAUCAGCAGCCAGUGACUCCAAGUGUCUCGAUGUAAAUAUCAAUGCUUCGUCCAUUAUAUAAUCUUUUGU